rnacentral:rRNA from 1 species
UACAGAGGUCCCAAGCGUUGUUCGGAUUCAUUGGGCGUAAAGGGUGCGUAGGCGGCGCGGUAAGUCGGGUGUGAAAUCUCGGAGCUUAACUCCGAAACUGCAUUCGAUACUGCCGUGCUUGAGGACUGGAGAGGAGACUGGAAUUUACGGUGUAGCGGUGAAAUGCGCAGAUAUCAGGAGGAACACCGAUGGCGAAGGCAGCUCGCUGGGACGGUACUGACGCUGAGACGCGAAAGCGUGGGGAGCAAACAGG